GCUUAACACAUGCAAGUCGAGGGGCAGCAUGGUCUUAGCUUGCUAAGGCCGAUGGCGACCGGCGCACGGGUGAGUAACACGUAUCCAACCUGCCGUCUACUCUUGGACAGCCUUCUGAAAGGAAGAUUAAUACAAGAUGGCAUCAUGAGUCCACAUGUUCACAUGAUUAAAGGUAUUCCGGUAGACGAUGGGGAUGCGUUCCAUUAGAUAGUAGGCGGGGUAACGGCCCACCUAGUCUUCGAUGGAUAGGGGUUCUGAGAGGAAGGUCCCCCACAUUGGAACUGAGACACGGUCCAAACUCCUACGGGAGGCAGCAGUGAGGAAUAUUGGUCAAUGGGCGAGAGCCUGAACCAGCCAAGUAGCGUGAAGGAUGACUGCCCUAUGGGUUGUAAACUUCUUUUAUAAAGGAAUAAAGUCGGGUAUGCAUACCCGUUUGCAUGUACUUUAUGAAUAAGGAUCGGCUAACUCCGUGCCAGCAGCCGCGGUAAUACGGAGGAUCCGAGCGUUAUCCGGAUUUAUUGGGUUUAAAGGGAGCGUAGAUGGAUGUUUAAGUCAGUUGUGAAAGUUUGCGGCUCAACCGUAAAAUUGCAGUUGAUACUGGAUAUCUUGAGUGCAGUUGAGGCAGGCGGAAUUCGUGGUGUAGCGGUGAAAUGCUUAGAUAUCACGAAGAACUCCGAUUGCGAAGGCAGCCUGCUAAGCUGCAACUGACAUUGAGGCUCGAAAGUGUGGGUAUCAAACAGGAUUAGAUACCCUGGUAGUCCACACGGUAAACGAUGAAUACUCGCUGUUUGCGAUAUACAGCAAGCGGCCAAGCGAAAGCGUUAAGUAUUCCACCUGGGGAGUACGCCGGCAACGGUGAAACUCAAAGGAAUCGACGGGGGCCCGCACAAGCGGAGGAACAUGUGGUUUAAUUCGAUGAUACGCGAGGAACCUUACCCGGGCUUAAAUUGCAGAUGAAUUACGGUGAAAGCCGUAAGCCGCAAGGCAUCUGUGAAGGUGCUGCAUGGUUGUCGUCAGCUCGUGCCGUGAGGUGUCGGCUUAAGUGCCAUAACGAGCGCAACCCUUGUUGUCAGUUACUAACAGGUCAUGCUGAGGACUCUGACAAGACUGCCAUCGUAAGAUGUGAGGAAGGAGGGGAUGACGUCAAAUCAGCACGGCCCUUACGUCCGGGGCUACACACGUGUUACAAUGGGGGGUACAGAGGGCCGCUACCACGCGAGUGGAUGCCAAUCCCAAAAACCUCUCUCAGUUCGGACUGGAGUCUGCAACCCGACUCCACGAAGCUGGAUUCGCUAGUAAUCGCGCAUCAGCCACGGCGCGGUGAAUACGUUCCCGGGCCUUGUACACACCGCCCGUCAAGCCAUGGGAGCCGGGGGUACCUGAAGUGCGUAACCGCGAGGAGCGCCCUAGGGUAAAACUGGUGACUGGGGCUAAGA
rnacentral:rRNA from 1 species